CUGGGGAUCUGCCCGAUAGAGGGGGAUAACCACUGGAAACGGUGGCUAAUACCGCAUAACGUCGCAAGACCAAAGAGGGGGACCUUCGGGCCUCUCACUAUCAGAUGAACCCAUAUGGGAUUAGCUAGUAGGCGGGGUAAUGGCCCACCUACGCGACUAUCCCUAUCUGGUCUGAGAGGAUGACCACCCACACUGGAACUGACACACGGUCCACACUCCUACGGGAGGCAGCAGUGGGGAAUAUUGCACAAUGGGCGCAAGCCUGAUGCACCCAUGCCGCGUGUAUGAAGAAGGCCUUCGGGUUGUAAAGUACUUUCAGCGGGGAAGAAGGCGGUGCGGUUAAUAACCGCGUCUAUUGACGUUACCCGCAAAAAAAGCACCGGCUAACUCCGUGCCAGCACCCGCGGUAAUACAGAGGGUGCAAGCGUUAAUC
rnacentral:rRNA from 1 species